rnacentral:snRNA from 1 species
GGAUGUGAAGGUGAUCUGGCUAUGACAUGUGUCACCUCAUUGAUCACCAGGGUUGAUUCAGCUGACCUUGCUGGCAAGGCGAGUGUCCCUUUCCUCCCUCACCACUCAAUGUCCUUCCCGAAGCUGCUAGAACCUCCAAACAAGCUCUCAAUUAUUCGCUACCUUUGUUUUUAAUAUAAUUUAUUUAAUUGCAGGCAUAUACAUAUAAUUUAAUGUGUAGUAAUGGCUGUUCUUAACAGCCACCUCAUAGAAUUCCCCAGAAUCUCACAAUUAAUACCUGUGAGCCAGUGUGAGCCAGUCUGGCUCAUCAC